GCAGAAAGGAGCUGAGAAUGACCCCCUGGCUGACAGUCAGGAAGCAGGCACCUCAGUCCCACCACUGCAAGAAACUGGAUUCUGCUAACAAACUGAACAAUCUUGGACGCAGAUUCUUCCCCAAAGCCUCCAGAGAAGUGCCCAGCCUGGUGGAGACUUGAUCUCAGCCUUGCACUAUUCUAACCUGAGAACCCAGUCAAUCCCAGUCAGACCUCUGACCUACAGAACAGAUCCAUAAUGAUUUUUAAAUCGAACACAAACACACUGGCAACUUAUGGAAAAAAAAUAAGAAAUGUUACAAUAUUACAACCAGAUGGUUUGCCAAAAUGCGGAACAAAUUAAAAAAGAAAGAAAGCAUGAAAAAGAGCACUGAGGAACGAAGAGCUGAGAACCAUGGGCAGCGAACAUGUUGACAAACAGCACACUAUGAGCGGGCGUUGAUUCCACUUGGUACCUGUCAGCAGUCUGUAUGCUGGGCUGAAGCACAGGUAAGAAUUCCUGCUGCAGUAACCCCAUGGGAGGGCUAGAAGGCCUUUAAAAAACAGCAAACAGCAGCAUUCAAACACCCACACCGACUCACCCUGCACUGCAAAAACAACACUCCAGAGAAAAUACACAAGACUAGAAGCAGACUAAACAGAAACUCAUUAACCUCAACAAGCCCCUGGCCGUGGCUGGGUGUUUAAGGAGACUGGGGAGAAGCUAGCCAGCCCUCACUGCACCCGCUGCUGCUGGUGCGUGUCCAGAGGCGUCUCAGUUCCUGGUCCCAGAGCUCAGCCCCCUUUUGAGGUGGUAUAAAAAGCGACCAGUGAGGAAGAGGAUGAUGGAAUGCAGCUGAAUGGCAAUAGGGAGUAGGGGCAGCCUUUGAGAAGACACAUUUUCAAAGCCAGCCUCUUUACUUUCCACUCUUCUCACGGUACACCAGUCCCAGCAUUCAACCUGGUGAUGUCUGGUAACCAUCUUUAACAGGACUGAAGCCCCACCGGAGAGGCCCUUCCAAGAGGACUAAAUGGUCUGGCAAUGUUUUUGAUUUAAAAAAAGGGUGAGUUUCAAUUUCAAAAACGUAUUGAGAACAGAUGGG
rnacentral:lncRNA from 1 species